UCUCGUCAUAGUUUAACAAAUUAUCCAAUCUUUGAUCAGUCUUAUCUCUCAAAACACUCAAAUCACAUCAUGCAGCAAGCACCCACGACAAGAGUAGGAACAAUAAUUAAGACAGUCUAUGUCGUCGGUGUGCAAUAAAAUUCAGUUUAUGCCACCGUAGAGCAGAUGACGCAUGCUCUCGUGUCGAAGGAAGUGCAAAAGGUCAAUCUGCGAGCUGCAUUUGAGUCGACGGCAUGCAAGAGAUCACUCGACCGCGGAAUAUGUCGAGGUGGUAAUUAAAUGAUUAAGACAAAGCCACGUAGGGAAUAGAAAGUUCUUGUUGCUCUCCAACGGAUCGCGAAUCUACCACCAUCACGAAUCCGCUCAAAAAGUAAACCCAAAUUUAUUUUUGCGGGCACUGGACGACUCGACCACUUUCAAGAGAUAUUACCGUUCGUUGAGGGAAGAGCACAUGGAAAGACGUGGCAUCUGACAAAAAGGCUCGACUCUCAGGCCUGUCUUGAACAAUGGUGAUCAUGCAGGUCCUGCACGGAACAACCAGUCUUCACGUUCGGAGAUAAUCUUGCUGAUCCAUGCCAAAUGUACCUCGGUUCAUAUGGCCACAGACGAAUGCAGUCUCCAAAGAAUGGAAAGGGUUGCAUGUGAACCAGCUGUUGGAAUCAACAGGUCUUCUCAUGAAAAAAAGUGGCUAUCAAGCUUUCACCAACUUCAUCUUGGCAUUCCCAUCUAGAGGGGUUGCCAUGAUAACGAGGUCAUACUCUCCACUUGUUCUUUCAUCUGCUCUUUUCUCAGCCUGUUUAUACUGUAUUCAUCGGAGGGCAUGCCAGCACCAGUCUCCAUCAUAUGAAUGUAACUUUCCCUUGGAUGAGCCUUGCACCUGAGACCUUCAACAGACUUUCAGCAACAUUUUUGUUUCCUCCAUGUACAGCCCAUAGAUCAGACUCUGCACAUGCCAUGAACACUGCAGCUGAAAAACAAAUGAUUGUGUUAAACAGCUUUUGCUUCCAAAAAAGUAUAUAUGUUUUACAUUUAAUACUGAGAUAGUAUAUAAAUCACUCUCAUCUUGUAGCAAAUUACACAAAAGGUUGUGUUCAAGGGAAUUCUAUCAAGUUAUUUUUGGCCACACUUUCACUGCAUUUUGUGAUAUUGCUGACCCAAGUUAAAGAAAACCAUGUAAGAAAACUGUUGGGCUGUCAGUUACCCACAAAUAUGUGCAUGUAUGUAGUCAUACAUGUAAUGAUAAUGUCUGUCCUUAUUCAAGGGUUGUGAAUUUAUGGUACAUGUAUGAUAAGUUUUGUUAUUUUCCUUGGAUACACUAACAUUAUAAAUUCUUGUCACUCAAAGAUUUAUCUAGUUUCAAAAGCUAGUGUCAGUCUCUAUCAUAACAAUAAUCAGGUUGUGUGUGAUUACAGAUAACAAAUGGAAUAGCAAAAUAAAAUCAAGCACCAACCAUACCAAGAAAACCAUGAGUAUCUGUAGUCUGCCCAUAGUUCAGUUUCAGUCUCAUUGCUGCCAUUAAAAGUUCAUUGAUAAAAAUGUCAGAAAACCCAGUAUCCCUAACCAUGGUCUGAGCAGAGAUGGGUGUGCAGUUAAUGAACCGUUCAUCCAUGGCUUUAUGCAUAUCCUCCACU